UACAGAGGGUGCAAGCGUUAAUCGGAAUUACUGGGCGUAAAGCGUGCGUAGGUGGUUUGUUAAGUCAGGCGUGAAAUCCUGGGGCUCAACCUCAGAAUUGCGCUUGAUACUGACAGACUCGGGUGCGGUAGAGGAUAGUGGAAUUCCCGGUGUAGCGGUGAAAUGCGUAGAUAUCGGGAGGAACAUCAGUGGCGAAGGCGGCUAUCUGGACCAACACUGACACUGAGGUACGAAAGCGUCGGUAGCAAACAGG
rnacentral:rRNA from 1 species